UACAUGAACCUUUUACUAGUUUGCGCCCAAGGAACAAUAUUCACUAUUUCCAGUAUAAAAGACAGCAAAGUAAAAUGUACAGCAUUAUUUCAAAAAUAUUUCUUAGAAGUUUUUGGCAUUUCAGCAUUUCAUUAUUAUAGGAGUACUGGCUGAUUUUAAGUAGUGUGAGUAUUAUUACCUUGUAAGCACCAGGAGAUGGCAGUAAAUGAGUUAAAACACUUUUUAAAAAUCCACAUGCAUAAAACGCAAAAAAACUACUGAGGUGCCAUUUUCUGGGUUUCUUCUGUACAUUAAUAUGGUGUAUUGUUUGUUGAACUAAGUACAAAUGUUUUCAACGUCCAGUAUUCAGAGUAAAAAUUAUAAAAUUAUCUUGUCAGAAAUGAGAUUGUGGCAGAACACUCAUCUUCUGAAUUUUAUUGUGCUAUGUAGUAUAGAAAAUGUUCAGAAAUGAAAGGAAAUAAUAAAUAGCUUAUAAAAAAAGUUCCUGUAGUACUAAUACCUCCCAUGUGCUUGAGGAGCAGAGAGAAGGAAAAGUAGAGAGAGCUGAUAAUAAGAACCUGUUCCCAUGGCGUGUUCCUUGUCAGUAAUUUUUCAUACAGAAUUCCUCUUCAUAGCAUGUUUUGGAUUUGCUGCUUAAAUGUAAGUGAACGUUAGAAUGGUUUCUAGUUUAACUGACUCUCUAGGAUUUGUGAAUCCAGUCAAAGUGCUUGAAACCAGUUGUGAACACAGAAUACUUCUGGUUUUUAUUUUUCAGUCCCUUAUUUCUCUCUUGUCAUUCAACCGACCUGACAGUUUCUUAUCUGAUUGUCCAGAAAGCUUUAUGGACAAAGAAAAAACCUUACAAGGUGAAUCUGUUUUGCAGAUAGAAUAUACCAAUUGUAUAUAAUUGAAUUUACAGAAGCAUCACUUUUGAAGUGUCUGAUAAAAUGUUCGCAAUUUCAAAACACUAAGGUUUGACCUUUGGUUUCCUGUUGAACUACAUAUGCCAUUUAUUUCAAUGGGCUGAGUUUUUACCUAUAGGGAAUAAACUUCGAGGUGAGUAUGUAUGUAUGUUUUACAUAAAACACUUUAAAAUCGGUCAUCUUCCUUCAAACUUCUGGGGUUUUUGUUUGUGGUGGUUUGUUUGUUUUUUCUUUCAGUGAGACACUACAUUGGAGUAUUUGAGUCAAUUUAAUGGAAAAGUUUGGCAGAUUAAACGAAUCAUUACAUUAGCAUAUUGAACGAAAUUAAAAGUUACUAAUGGUGUGUAUGAGUGCAUGUGUGCGCAUGUAAAUACCUACAUAUUUACAUAUUAUAACCAAAACUAUAUAUAUCACAUAAAUGACCAAUUGCAGUAAUUAUGUGUGCAGAUUUACAGAAAAGCUGCGACUAAGAGUUCUUCCGCCAAAGUUUUCAGGAAAGAUAAACAGGGCAGUGGGAAAGCCGUAGAAAAAUGGCUAGUAGGAUCAAGAUUAUGGUCUGUUCAAAUAUGCAAAUAGCAAAUGUUUAAUAUGUUUAUACUGUUCUUAAAAUAGUGAAAAAUGCAGUAGUGUUUUAUAUGCUUUGAAGCUGACGCAAAAAAAUAGUCCAGGAAAGUGUGUAUACAGUUUAUGUCUAUGGAGGGUGUUUCAUGCGUUCAGACUUCCAUUUCAUUUGAACAUAUGUGUGAACAUCCUCUUUAAAAGUUUUAAUGUAUUAUUUUAAAAUCCAUAGCUGGAAUUGAGUGUAUCAUUUCAGAUGAAGAAAGUGAUAAAAAGAUUGUGCUGGGAUGAAGGAUAAACUCUGUGAACACAGAGGGACCUUCAGGACUAAGGCAGACUGCACUCCCUGAAGUGUGAAUAAAUGUUAUCACCAGCCUGAUGUGAAUCACAUGGCGGAACAUUGGUGGAGAUUGGUCUUACAUUAAGUGAAUUAUGGCAGAAUGUUGUCCUGCUAGUUUUCUGGGUUCCUGGAGAUUUCAUUUCUUUUGUAUUUCUCAUUUUUUCUCCCCUCCUUUGUAUCAUGCUUUCUGCCUUCCUUCCUCCUCUACAAAGCCAUUAAUCAAAGUAAGAUAAUCAGAAAUUUUUCUCACCCUCUUUUCUCUUCCCAGACCUCUUGACCAGAGAGAAACUGUAGUUUGUGGCUUUGAACUCAGAGGAAUUGGUAGUUAUGUCCUUUAUACUUACAAAUAAUGGGCUGGUGACUCUUAUCAAACAGCCAAAACAGUAUCUAGUGAUACCCAUUUAACUGAAAGUCCACAGUUUAAAAAUUGAAGGGCUUUUUUGAGCAUGGCUGAUGAACAAUUUGUAAAGAGCUCUUUAUAAAGAAACAAAAAGCAAAACAUAUGUAAAAGCAAAAGCGAUACAUUUGCUAAAGCUAUAAAUUAUUUAUGAAAGACAACAAAUGAAAAUGUACCAAGUAGAUUAGUCAUCGAAUUAUUUGCUUGGGUUCAGUAGAAAAACUUGCUCGAACAAACACAGUCUGUGGUUAAAAUAGCUUUACUGAGACAAAGGCUAUUGUACAAUAGUUUAAAAUGUGUUUAGCAGUAGUGUCUAGUUACUUAUGCUGCAAUUGUAUGCCGUGCCAUGGCUUCUGUACUUUGCAGAGCUGGUCCCAGAAGUGAUCAUGCUGGAAUUAAAUUUUACAUUUCAAGAAGAGCACAUUUGUACUUUACACCCUGACUUAAUGGGAAAAUUGACACGGUAUUCACUGUCAAAGCACUCAGAGGUUGACUUUAUGUAAUGAAAUUACCUGCUUUGUUCCUCUUCCACAAAAAAUGCAAAUGGAUGAGGUUGACUUUAUGUAUUGCAGUGUUUUUCUUUAGUUAUAAGGUGAAGACAGUGCAGAAAAGUUGCCUAAAGUGCUUUUUACACUAAGCAUGCUUCAGUAGUAUUUGUUUUUCACAAGGAGCAGACUUUUCAUUAGUAUCAUUUACUAAAUGAUGCUAUUAUUAUCAUGAGUAAGGGAUCAUAUUUAAAAUUAUCUUGGAAUUCAGAAAUUAUACCAAAUAAUGGCUAAUAACAAUACAUUAUACACUAAUGUGUUUUUAGCCCCACAUACCAGAAUUUACUUUUAGCAGUCUCACCUAGUUUCCUUAUUUUAAAGGAAUAUACUUAAGACUUGUGUUUCUCAUGUUCCUUCUUAAUCCAAAAGCUGUGAUCAAACCAGUUUGCUUUAAGCCCAUCAAAAAUUAGCCCCCCAAACAAUCAGCAUACUAUAUUAAAAUUAUGUAUCUUAAAAUAUCAUACUUCAGGGAUUGUUUUGCAGUCUUCUGCAGUAACCUGGAAGUCAAGAGAGCUGGUUCUGUUCCAAAGCUUGGGAUAAAGUAUGUGAAGCUGAUAUAUGAUGUUUUGUCUGCAAUGGUUUGAGGUAUGAACUCAGCAACCGAGUCCUACACAUUAGAAAGAAUGUAAAAUCUAUGGGCAGGACCUCAGCUAAUGCAUGUUUUUAUGUGGAAGGAGCUCAGAUAUUUUAGUGCAGCAUAUCUUAUAAAACAAUGUCACUGUUGGACAGUAUUUUCAACACUCCUAUACCAUGGCAGCAUUUCCCUUCUUGUUUUGCCAGAAAAUGGUCAGUGCAUCUAUGAGCGUAUUCAGAGUUUUGAUUUCUGUUUUGUUUGUGGUCUGUCAGCUGAGAUAUCAAUGAAGAAUACUGCCUUCUCUGUUUGGCACUCCCAUAGCAAAACUUGCCCAAGGCCUAGGGUACAGGGUACAGCGUUUUUGAAAUAGCUGACCUUUGCUUAUCAUAAUCUUCCAUUUAUUCAGGACUUCAUUGUGUCCUUUAUUGAGAAAUGGUUGGAUUUUUUUUUUAGGACUACUAAUAUUUACGUUAUUUUCUCACUCUUUCAUCUAUCUUUAUGUUCUCUCCUAUGUGUUGGUUUGUUGUGUUUUCAGGAAGUAGUAUCUGACAGUAAUUCUGAUGCUGCCCAAUUCCCUUCACCAGUGUUCUCUCAUUCUAUACUUCAGUGAUCAACUAUGGAACAGUAUUAUCAGAUUUUAUUGCUUCAGUCAGGUGGCUGGUAAAGGGGUUUUAAGUAUUUCUACAGCUGUUUUCUGAAGACACUCUAGUAUUUGUGAUAUUGUGUUCACAGUUGGAAGUUUCAGAACUGUGAAAAUUUAAGUAUUUUUGAAUGGAAAGUUGAGAUUCUACAAAAUAAAGGUAUAGCUAGCUUCACUUUAUUCCUCCUACACCCCUCUCAACCUUCUCCAUAGUAAAUUUUCUAGACCUUUGCCCUAUGAGAUGCAAACACAAAUAGGUGCAUACCUGUAAUUUAUAAUGGAUUAUCCUAAUAAAUAGUUUAGAAAUCAAAUAUUUUUAAAAUUAAGACUUUGAAAGCUUUAUUACAAUAAUUCAUUAUAAAUUUAGAAGACUAGAGAGCUACUGCUUUUGACAUCUACCAUCUGCUUUUUUAAUCCAAGAAAUUCAAAACUAGUCCUCUCCUGUUCUUUUAAGAGUACUAUAUUCAACAAAAUUGCUUUGUACACAGACAUAGAAAGUGCUAUUAGCAUAGAACAAUGUUCCUGUUGAAUUAUAGAGUUGCGUAACUUGUAAAGGACCCUUAGUCAGUAUUAUAGCUAUUUCUAUUAGAGAAAACAAGUAAUUAAAUAAAGGACAGAGAAAGCCAGUUACUACAGGUAAACAAUUAGACUUUUCCCACCCAUAAAAACAUCUUUUUUCCUUACAAUGUUAAAAGCAGCAUAUCAUUUCAUAGCAUAGUUCCUGAACUGACCUGCAAGGCCAUUCACUUCUUUCCUGUGUUGUAAAGUAGAGAUGAGCCAUAUGACAAGGGCAGAACUGAAGAACAAGUAGGAAUAGGCUGUAGCCAUCCUGUCAGAACUAUGUUGAUCCCUUAACUGUUAUCUUCUACCUAGUGGCUUACUACUGGUUUGUCCUAGAUUGUGAGUACCAUGGUUCAGGUACAAUAAUAUUCCUUUCUGCUCAUUUGCACUGUAUCUAGCAUGCCCUGGGUAAUGCUAGAAAGCUGGUGUUUGUAAAGAUUUUGGAGAUUUUAUUCCCGUUUCAGCUGUCACAAUGUUCCUUUGUGAUUUUGGCAAAUCUCUGAACCUCUGUCUGCAUCAGACUCCUCUUUGUAAAAAGCAAGAGUAAUCAGCCCUUCCUCUGUUCAUGGCUUGUAUUUAGAUGUUUCCAGUACUACUGGCUUUGAAGUCCAGUAGUACAAUAUUAUUAUGGCAUACAAGUAUCACUAUGGAAAAUUGGUACAUUGCAAAUGGUGUAUAAUGGAGUUCAUUUUUAAAGUGACUUGUUUUAUUUGUGUAAGAAAGUGUAUAACAGCAAAAGGAAAUAGACUCAUAUGUUUGCAAUAUCUUUAAAUCAUGUUUUCUAAGUUAAUUUUAAAAGAAUCACUGUAGUAUGUGACCGAAACUGUCUUCGGUAAUCUAAAAGCAAGUCUUUUUUAUCUUUUGCGUAUUUGUACAAAAAAGUAAAUGUCUUCUGCAAUAAUAGCUCAGAGGAGUGUCAUUUAUGAUAUACAGUGCAAAUUAACCUAACUGACUGGCCACUGUUAUAUUCAUCUGGGACUAAUCAGAGUUUAUAAUCCAUUUUAUCUGGUAUUCUUGUACUUCGGUUGCUAAGCAGCUAAAGCCAUUAUGCAGAUAUUGCUAUAUGGGUGUAAUCAGUUUAACACAAGUUUGCAUUGCCUUUUAUUACUGAUUAGUGUCAAAUUAGAACUUUUUAGGGCCCGAUUCUGUUCAUUAUUAUUGCUUCACUGGGUUUGUACAUGUGUGAGACAAAAGACUGAAUUUGUCACUGUAUUUUAACUAGUUCAGUGCUAAAAUUUUUUUAAUACAAUUUAUAAAGUUAUGGACAUAGGUUUCUUAACGAUAAGUGUUAAUUAUGGUGAAAAGAAUAAAAUGGCAAGUAAACAUGGAGCAGUGUUAUUUAUACUGUUUCUGUUAUGGUACCUUUUAUGUACAUUUAUACGUAUUUAUAUUAAAACUUAUUUUUAGUAUUUUUAUUUAACUGUAUUAUUACGGAUGCAUAUACACAAAAUACGUGCAAUAGUAGCUAUUUUUUAAUUCCCGACUGGUUUUUACAGGCGGUUUAUGUCAUGGGAAAUUAAAAUGAACUGAUAUUGGGUCAUUCUUCAGAAUAUUUCCUGAAGCACUAGAAGUUAGAGUGGCAUGUGCUGAUGUUUCAUAUAUCAUACAGUCAAGAAGUCAUGUAAAUACACAAAAUUUUGGCAGAAUAACCUUUUUUCAGAAAUUUGGGUACCGUGUAUGUUAAAUUUAGAUUUCCUGUUGACUGCUACACAGCAUGAAUGCAUUGACCGUGAUCAUUGUAUUGUCUAAAAGUAGACACCGUGGUCAAGAAUAGCUGGAACGGUGGGGCUGAUGGUUAAAUACUGUAAUCAUUGUCUCUCACACACACAAGCCCCUGUUUCCAGCAUGAUGACCCGGUUUUGGGAAACUUGCUAUUAUGCAGCUCAGUUAUUGCUAGCUGCUCUUGAAGGAUUAUUAAAGCCUGGUUAGCUCACUGAAGAGUCAUUGUUCACAUCAGUCCUUUUAGCGUUAAACUUCAAGUCAGGCUGUCAGUGCGGCCAGGCUCAUCAAGGGCCCGUAGGAGAAAUUACUCCUUCAGCAUCAAGCAGAAGGGUAAAUGCUUCUCUUUCAGACAGGAAAGACUUUUAUUUUGUGAUGUAGCACCCAAACUGAACAGGACUCUUUCACACCCUCUCAAAGCUGGGGCUUGUUCCUGGUUUGCGUGUAUACAAGUGAGCCCUGCAGCUGCAGCUCCAUGGAUCGCUUUGCUGUAACCAACUGAGGCCUUGACAGCCCCGGGAAUAGUCUCGAGUCAGCAUCUGUGGCCAGAAUUCACUGCAACUGCCAUCAUGAAAUAGGUCUCGAGACCAUCCUCACAGCUGCUGUAUGAUCCCCCUUUGGACAGAAGAUGCCUGAGUACAUGACCUGCAUGAACCCACUGGCCCUUUGCCCUAACACCCUUUGUGCUUUUUCUUGUUUGUUUUUAUUUUUUUUCUAGCCAUAAAACACUAUUCGCAAUUUACUUCUAAUGGGUCCGAUAUAAAAAUGAAUAUGUAAAAAUAAAACCUAUCUUUAAAAUAAAUGUAAAUAUAAUGCUCACAUGGGUAGCUAUCAGGAUGCCUCAUUUAUGCUAGUUAACUAUUUUAAAAGCUAUUUAAAGAAAGCUUAUUUUACCCAAGUGAUUGUGGGAAAACAUUUAAUACUGUGUUUGUUAGGUGUUGAUCUUGCAAGUAAACAACUAACGCACCCCAAAGGAAGAGUCAGGAAAAAGGAAACUGCAUAUAAAAUUUGAUUCUUCUGCAGCUUCUUUUCUAAAUGCAGGAAAUUAUUCUCUUUGGAAUUCAUUUGGGCACUUUAAUGCAACUUCUUUGUUGUUGUUUUUUGGUAACAACAGUAAACUUAGUAAAUUAUAAUUGUACACGAGAGAAUUUCACCAUGGGAAAGAAGUGCAAUUUUCAAAACAUUUGGUUUUGCAUCUUGAGUAAAAUUAUCUUUGCUUUUUUUAGCAUGUACACCGAGUAAUUUUACUUUUGGUGUAAUGUGUCUUCUGCACCAUUCAACAUAUGUGAGAUGGGCCAAAUUUGAGUAGCGUAUAAGUUAAAUUACACUUUAUCUUCUUCUCGAAACCACACCGUCAGAUUAUUUUUACACUGUUAAUGGGUGUGUGAGAUGAAAGAAGGGAAUCCAGUUUAUGCCGUUUUAUCUCACUUGUGAGUGAGUACUUGUAGCAGAAACACCCACACUUUUUGAUGGCAGCAGGGUUUACUCUUGCCUAAUUGCUGUGGGCUAAGAGUGGUGAUGCCCUGCCUGUAGUCUCAUGCAUGAGUGUGGGGAAGCUUGUAGAGACCUGCUUUCUGUUCCCACGUAAGGUGAGUCUAAGGCCAUUCGGUAAGCUGAGAAGUGUUCAGUGCAUUAUCUCCUUAUAAAAGAUGACGAGGAAAGUGAUCUGUAAUGUCACCUUAGCAGUUAAGAGGAGUGACUCUCUACAGGAGAGCGUGUUAUUUGUGGGCCUGUGGGUCUACUGUGCCUCUAAGCCAGGGCUGAGAUACAGUGUAAGGACUGUAUACACAUUCCAUUAAUAGUAAGAAACAGUUAAUGCAGAUCUAGAAAACACGUAAAGGUAAAAUGUAUCUCAUCAUAGAAUAGUUUAGGUUGGAAAGGACCUUCAAAGGUCACCUAGUGCAACCCCCUGCAAUGAGCAGAGACAACUUCAACUAGAUCAGGUUGCUCAGAGCCCCGUCCAGCCUGGCCUUGAAUGUCCCCAGGGAUGGGGCAUCUAUCACCUCUCUGGGAAACCUGUGCCAGUGUUUCACCACCUUCAUUGUAAAAAAUUUCUUCCUCCUGUCUAGCCUGAAAUCUCCCCUCUUCUGGUUUAAAACCAUUACCCCUUGUCUUGUCAGAACAUGCCUUUCUAAAAAGUCUGUCCCUAUCCUCGUUGUAGGCCCCUUUUGAGUACUGAAAGGCUGCAAUAAGGUCUCCUUGGAGCCUUCUCUCCUAAUUAAUGCUUUCUAUUCUCUUCUAGUAAACCGAUCUGUCAUUGGAAAGUAACUGUUCAGAACUAAGGAAACCUGAAAUAAAGACUCCUUCCAAGUUCUGGCUGUGCUUGCUAAAACAGUAGUUCAUAGAAAUGCAAAGUGUUGAGCAAUUUGGAGGUCAUGACAGUGAACAUUAGGUUCUGGACUCUGCUAUUUCAUCUUACAGCUAAUGGAUAUGAACUACUGUGAAACAUGUUCCAUUCUCCACUUUCUAUGUCUAAAAGAUGUGCAUAGUCACCUUUGAAUGAGACUGAGAAGAGAGAAAGGGCUGUGAGUUUUAGUUAAUGUUCCUUUACAUAGCAAAUAGAUCUUGAUUAUAGCUGAAACAUGAAUCAUUUAUGUUGUAAUCUCAGAAUAUAUUCCACUAACGUGUCUAUUAUGUUACUGUAAUAGUAUAAAACAGUGUUUUAAAUUAUUUCCCAAAGGGAAAUCCUCUGCUUAAUUUGCUCUUUUGCUAUUCAGUGUAGGAUAAAUACUUUACUUUUCCUGCACUGGGUGUACUAAUCCUUCUUUUCCUGCAUCACACAGUGUAUUUAGUAACUGUAAUUCUCUUUCCCAUGCACAGCGACUCUCUGUGUGUAAGGUUAGCUUUGUUGUGAUCAGACCACUAGGUCCUCUAAGGAUUAAUGAGAUUUUGUCAGAAUGGUAUGACCCUUAAAAACAAUAAUCACCCAAUGACACUACUUUAAUUUAAAUAAAUCCGUACCUAUGCUGGAAAAAUCUUUCUUCUUUUAAAGGUAUUACAUUAUAGGGGAACUGAGUGUUCAUGGAAGGCAUUCUGAAGGGUAACUUACAAACUUAACUACUUUAAUUGUGUACGGAAUAAUACCAGCUCGUAGUAAGUCUGCAUGUUUCCAUAGACUAAUUUUUAAGUUAUGACCCAGAGAGGUCACCGCAUUUUAUCUGUAAUACGUCCAAGAAUGACCCAGUUAUAAUUCUUCCUUGCCAAGUACACAAGAAGGAAAACUAUCCUUUUAGGUACUUAGCUUUCCAUUCAGCCAAUAGAAGGAUUCAAGGGAUCCAUUUUGCAAGGUUCUAUAACUGUGUUUUUCCAAGAAGCUUUGCAGAAUCACACAAGAUAAGUAAAUUCAAAUACUCUAAUUGGUAAGUGGUUUCUUGAAAUGUCUGUCGUGAUACUCAUUUUCUCUUUUCUGUCUUCAGAAACCAAAUAUUUAAAUAAUCACAAAAAAUUCUGCCCCUUAAAACAGCUUCCUGAAUUAUAGGAAAAACUACACCCUGAAGAUAAGGUGCACUAUUUUCUUCUGUGCUGCUCCAGUCAUUUUAGAGGGUUUGGAUGGCUUAAAUGAUGGCAGAAGUUUGGACAGUAUUUCUUGUUGUCUGGCUAAUUUAUACUUGUGAAUUGCCAGGGUUUUCAGCUGUGUAAAGCAUAUGCUUUGCCGAAAAUUAAUCAUGUUCUGGAAACAGGAAAGUAUGGAAAAUGAAGUAGAUACAAUUAAUGCUUUUAAAGGUCACUGUUGCAUUUAUAGAACUACAGAAAUCCAGACAGUGAAGAAAGGUGUAUGAAUAAUGACUUUCGAUAGAUAUUAAAAAGCCUGGCUCAGGUAGCUCAUGUUUAUCAUGUAGAACAAUAAAAUCGGUGUAUGGUGCUUACAUAGGUCAAUGGAUAUUUAUAAAGAAGAGGUCAUGAAAAUGUGUCAAACGCAGGAUGUUAUACGUAGACUAAAGAUUUUGCAUAUAUUUACCAGUUUUCAUUAAUUCUGUGUGCUUAUGUAAUUUUUCACUUGAAAUGUGAAUUUUUAACCUCUUGUUAGCUUCCUCUCAGAAAAAGCUAAUUUGUACAGAAGGCCAAAGAUAGGGCAAUACCAGGCUCUGAUCUCAUGGAGGGCUGCAUAAAACAUACACAUGUAGGAACAGCCAGCAGCUUGUUUGACCCAGUAUCCUGUCUCUAGCAGUGCCAAAGCAGAUGCCCAGGAGGAAUGUAGGUACAGGGUAAAGCAUAUAAUGACAUUUUUUCAAAAUACUAUCUGAAUAGCAGGAGAUGGAUGACGUGGGCAUUUCCUGAGCCAAAGAUGGUGGGUUUGCAUUUAAUGAACUGUCAUCUUUGCACAUAAUAUUGUUUGUGAGAAAUGUUGAAAGUGAGAAACUAUUUAGAAAUAUAAAUGUUGGAGAGCAUUUUGCUUUGUUCUGCAUCCUGGAGUGGAGAAAUCCUCUUAAUACCACAUCUGCAAACAGACAACCCUAUAGUACAGUGUAAAUAUUUCUAUAGUACAGUGUAAAUAUUUAUAUAAUUUCUUUUUAAUGGUGUUUCUGACAGUGUCUAUGCCAUUAAAAAUCUCCAAAUUGGUGUAGCUGCACUAUUGCUCCAUCAUCUUCUACAGCAGUGAAAUAAUGUCUCUGAUCACCUUGAAAUAGCAACUAAACAUACUGAGGUUUCUCAAAUAGAAAAAAAAAAAAACAGGAUUCCCUACAGGUGUUUUGAUAUGUGCUUCUGUAAUGUGUUGUUAUGCAUACAUUGGAUAUAAAAAAAAAAAACAAA